AGAUAUGUCGGUCCCUGUGAAUGAGAUACUCCAUCAAUCUCUAGCCUAAGGCACCCUGGAAGAGGAUCAAAACAGCUGUGCAGUUUACAAAAUGCGGUGAGGCUUGCUGAAUCUCAGUUGCUAUCCUGGCUGUCUUCCUGUAUAUCACUGAAAGAAAGAAAGAAAGAAAGAAA